rfam:Triticum aestivum genome assembly, contig: Triticum_aestivum_CS42_TGACv1_scaffold_345268_4DL
UUACUACUCCCUCCGUUCGGAAUUACGCGUCCGAGAAAUGAAUGUAUCUAGAUGUAUUUUAGUUGUAGAUACAUCCAUUUUUGUGACAAGUAAUUCCGAACGGAGGGAGUAUAUG